CCUACGGGAGGCAGCAGUGAGGAAUAUUGGUCAAUGGACGAGAGUCUGAACCAGCCAAGUAGCGUGAAGGAUGACUGCCCUAUGGGUUGUAAACUUCUUUUAUAUGGGAAUAAACCAGGGUAUGCAUACCCUCUUGUAUGUACCAUAUGAAUAAGGAUCGGCUAACUCCGUGCCAGCAGCCGCGGUAAUACGGAGGAUCCGAUCGUUAUCCGGAUUUAUUGGGUUUAAGGGAAGCGUAGGUGGAUUGUUAAGUCAGUUGUGAAAGUUUGGGGCUCAACCGGAAAAUUGCAUUUGAAACUGGCAGUCUGGAGUACAUUAGAGGGGGGCGGAAUUCGUGGUGUAGCGGUGAAAUGCU
rnacentral:rRNA from 1 species